rnacentral:rRNA from 1 species
UACAGAGGGUGCGAGCGUUGUUCGGAAUUAUUGGGCGUAAAGGGCGCGUAGGCGGGUCGGUACGUCGGUCGCUGAAAUCCCCCGGCUUAACCGGGGACGUGGCACCGAUACGGCCGACCUGGAGGCGAGGAGGGGGACCUGGAACGUCCGGUGGAGCGGUGAAAUGCGUUGAGAUCCGGAGGAACACCAGUGGCGAAGGCGACACGCUGGGCCGUACCUGACACUGAUGCGCGACAGCAUGGGGAGCAAACAGG